rnacentral:rRNA from 1 species
AUGCAAGUCGAACGGCAGCACGGAGAGCUUGCUCUCUGGUGGCGAGUGGCGAACGGGUGAGUAAUAUAUCGGAACGUAUCCAAUAAUGGGGGAUAACGAGUCGAAAGAUUCGCUAAUACCGCAUACGCCCUACGGGGGAAAGCAGGGGAUCGUAAGACCUUGCGUUAAUGGAGCGGCCGAUAUCUGAUUAGCUUGUUGGUGAGGUAAAGGCUCACCAAGGCGACGAUCAGUAGCUGGUUUGAGAGAACGACCAGCCACACUGGAACUGAGACACGGUCCAGACUCCUACGGGAGGCAGCAGUGGGGAAUUUUGGACAAUGGGGGCAACCCUGAUCCAGCCAUUCCGCGUGAGUGAAGAAGGCCUUCGGGUUGUAAAGCUCUUUCGCAAGGGAAGAAAACUUAUGAUCGAAUAAAUCAUGAGGUUGACGGUACCUUGAUAAGAAGCACCGGCUAACUACGUGCCAGCAGCCGCGGUAAUACGUAGGGUGCGAGCGUUAAUCGGAAUUACUGGGCGUAAAGCGUGCGCAGGCGGUUUUGUAAGUCGGAUGUGAAAUCCCCGGGCUCAACCUGGGAACUGCGUUCGAAACUGCAAGGCUAGAGUGUGUCAGAGGGGGGUAGAAUUCCACGUGUAGCAGUGAAAUGCGUAGAGAUGUGGAGGAAUACCAAUGGCGAAGGCAGCCCUCUGGGAUAACACUGACGCUCAUGCACGAAAGCGUGGGGAGCAAACAGGAUUAGAU